rnacentral:lncRNA from 1 species
UUUAUAUUGGCUUUGAUGGAACAUGGUUCCAUGAGAAAUCUCAGAUAAGACUUUAAAGCCUUGAGCCCAGCCAUGGUUUUCUGCCAACCAUAUCUGAAUGAGUUGAGUAAAUUUCUCUCCUCUUGAGGUCUUAAUAUAACUUGGGGAUCCUGGGCCUGCUAGGAACUGAUAUUCUUUCCUUACCACAGGUCAGGAACCCUGUACAGGAACUGUAGAGACUAGUUAUGAGGCCAGUUUUCUCAAGGGGAUUUUAUUGUCUCUAUAAGUCAACUUUGAUUCCUUAAAGGAGUCUGUAUCUCAAAGCAAGAGAAUGAGGGGUGGGAUGUAGUGAUGUCACAAGAGUCCCAUUAUGACCCCUACCCCAUCAUUGGAGCAAGGACUGGCUAAGCCUGAGCAAGGGUGGGGGAAAUAAAUAAGGCACUGUUGCUAGGGCCUGAGCCCAGCAGAGAAAGGCUGUGUGCAGAGGGAGGGCCUCGGGUCCUGCUGCUCCUCCUGGACUCCUUCAUCCCAAUCCCUUCACAUCCUCCUCUAACAAGGACACCCACAUCCCUCCCCGGCUAACUUGGAUCCUGCUCAACGCAACACCUGCCUUUCCUGAGUCCCCGGGUUCCUGCAGGCCUCAGGGCCCCACAGUUAUAUCUGCUGUUCCUGCAGGAUCAUUCUUGGCCACAGGACAAAGUGAUCCUAGGAAAUUGGACCCCCCAAGGCAAAAAGAGAAGCCAUCUCCUGCACUUCCUCCAGAGCUGCACCUGAUCAGAAGAAUCACUUGGGCACCCAGUUAACUGGAGGUGUUUGCUGAGCAGGUACACAACACACAAGGAUACAAGCAGCCAUUGCACACAGACACACCCACAUCGGACACAAACUGCUCUCUUCCCCUACCUGCACCAAGAGGUGCAUGUGGCAGGGGUCCUGGUAGAGCACUUCUAGGACGAGUGUUCUGGGACCCUCAUGUGAAGGGAACUCCAUG